rnacentral:rRNA from 1 species
AACUGCGGAAGGAUCAUUACCUAGAGUU